rnacentral:tRNA from 1 species
GCGAGUGUAGCUCAGCGGUUAGAGCGCCACGCUCAUACCGUGGAAGUCGAGGGUUCAAAUCCCUCCACUCGCA